rnacentral:rRNA from 1 species
CAGCAGUUCGAGGAAGGCGGGUACGUUAAUAGCGUAUUCGUUUGACGUUUAGCGACAGAAGAAGCACCGGCUAACUCCGUGCCAGCAGCCGCGGUAAUACGGAGGGUGCGAGCGUUAAUCGGAAUUACUGGGCGUAAAGCGCAUGCAGGUGGUUUGUUAAGUCAGAUGUGAAAGCCCGGGGCUCAACCUCGGAAUUGCAUUUGAAACUGGCAGACUAGAGUACUGUAGAGGGGGUAGAAUUUCAGGUGUAGCGGUGAAAAUGCGUAGAGAUCUGAAGGAAUACCGGUGGCGAAGGCGGCCCCCUGGACAGAUACUGACACUCAGAUGCGAAAGCGUGGGGAGCAAACAGGAUUAGAUACCCUGGUAG